rnacentral:rRNA from 1 species
AUCAGUGCUACGAGACGACGCUGGCGGUGUGCUUCACACAUGCAAGUCGAACGAGGUAGCAAUACCUAGUGGCGGACGGGUGAGUAACGCGUGGGAAUCUGCCUUUAGAUGGGGGAUAACGGGUCGAAAGACUCGCUAAUACCGCAUAUGACGAAAGUUGAAAGGAGUAAUCCGUCUAAAGAUGAGCCCGCGUCCGAUUAGCUAGUUGGUAGAGUAAAAGCCUACCAAGGCGACGAUCGGUAGCUGGUCUGAGAGGAUGAUCAGCCACAAUGGGACUGAGACACGGCCCAUACUCCUACGGGAGGCAGCAGUGGGGAAUUUUACGCAAUGGGCGAAAGCCUGACGUAGCGACACCGCGUGAGCGAAGAAGCCCCUUGGGGUGUAAAGCUCUGUCAGCUGGAACGAAAAAAUGACGGUACCAGCAGAGGAAGCAUCGGCUAACUACGUG